AUGAGUGGUGCUGGUGUGGCAAGGGGCAAGAUGCUUUACAGCCCCGAGUACCCAGAGCAGAGCGAUGUGUCUGUGCAAUUCACUUUCGAGGACCUCGAAUCUUGUCAAAGCUCCCCUGGGUCCCUCCCUUUCCACCGCGCGGAAGGAGGUGAGGCGCGGAGAGCUGCCCCGGCUCACCCUGGGAGCUCGAGAAGCAGGAAGCGCCGCUCUCGCGGUGCCCACGCGCUUCCUGGAGCCAGCAGCGGCGCCUCUAGGGAGAACAUAAAAAGAAACCGAGAGAAGCUCAACAGUGACAGGACGCAGGUGCCAAAAUCGACAAAAAUUGGUGUCCAGAAGUAUCGCACCAGCCAGGAGGGCUAGGACGAUGUGUGAACUUGCAUCGGCCUGCGUCUGAAACUGGAGCCUCCCUCCACCAAAGCUCGGCAAACUUGUAAAAACUGCCCCCGAACCAGCAGGCUGAAUCACGGCGAGGGCGGACGUCUUGCACCGGGCGCUCGGCCCAGGGCUCCUCCUGCGUGCCGGGGGCCGCCAGCCCUGACCCCUCCGCCUGUGCCCGGGCUGCUGGGCAAAGCCCUGGGGGCUGCAAAAGGCACCUGGGAUGGAGAGAGGACACAAAACCCUUCAGUCAGGGCUUGGACGUGCUGCUGAAGAACAGUUUAUUACUUAUAGUUGCGUUUGUGACCUUAUGAUCAUUUUAGGAUGGGCCGCGUCUGUGUCUUAAAAUGUCAGAAAAAAUCUGAAAUGUUGGGGUUGGGUCUCUGAUACUCAGUCGCCAUUUGCUUUACAGUGACACCACCGCGUUUCCAGCUGAAUAAUAACAAAGCGGGUCGGCACGUAACGCUGCCUGAAGCGGGUGUGCGGCCCGGGUUGCUGCGUGCGCCUCGCUCCGCCCUGGGAGCUGGCCCUCCCGAGGCGGGCAGGCCCUCGGCCCACUCCUCGCCUCCUCACAAAGCGUUUCUAGAAAUUUUGCCUGGCACAAAAGAAAUUGCAACUGCAGUACCAAGUGGAAGGGACGAAGCCAAAAGGCAGGUGAGCGUCACUCCUCCCACGUCACGGAUGAGGAAACCGAAGCUGGGAGCAGGAUAUAAAAAUAGGGUUGGAAGUGCUUGAUUCCCGCUCCUUGCGUAGGUUUUUUCCAGGUAAUUUUUGGCAAGCCGUUUGUGGACGCUCACAGCGUGCCGGCCACGACUGACGGCAGUCACAGCGAUGAUUUCUUUCCCAGAACCUCGCCACAGCCUGGGGAGGGGCUGAGCGGGCCCCGAGCCCCCAGCGCCCGCCCGUGCUCCCCGCGGGCCGAGGCUGCUGCCCGCGGAGCGAGCUCCAGGAGGGGCUCCCAGGGGGGCUGCCACAUCGCUCUCCG
rnacentral:lncRNA from 1 species